ACGUGCCAGCAGCCGCGGUAAUACGAGGGUGCGAGCGUUAAUCGGAAUUACUGGGCGUAAAGCGUGCGCAGGCUGUUCUGUAAGUCAGAUGUGAAAUCCCCGAGCUCAACUGGGAACUGCGUUUGAAACUACAGGACUAGAAUAUGUCAGAGGGGGGUAGAAUUCCACGUGUAGCAGUGAAAUGCGUAGAGAUGUGGAGGAAUACCAAUGGCGAAGGCAGCCCCCUGGGAUAAUAUUGACGCUCAUGCACGAAAGCGUGGGGAGCAAACAGGAUUAGAUACCCUGGUCCACGCAACGAUGUCUACUAGUUGUUGGUGGAGUAAAAUCCAUGAGUAACGCAGCUAACGCGUGAAGUGGACCGCCUGGGGAGCACGGUCGCAAGAUUGAAACUCAAAUGAAUUGACGGGGGCCCGCACAAGCGGUGGAUUAUGUGGAUUAAUUCGAUGCAACGCGAACCUUACCUGGCCUUGACAUGUAGCCUUUCCAGAGAUGGAUUGGUGCCCGAAAGGGAGCGCUA
rnacentral:rRNA from 1 species